rnacentral:lncRNA from 1 species
CUUUCAUUGACUACUACUGUUAUUCUUACCUACGUAUAGCAAACUCAUUGAUAGUCAGGACCUUUCAAUUCUGAUGUGCCAGGCCAGACUGUGAUCCCCGCCGUUGAGAUAUCUUUGAUCUGGUGCUGUUUCGUGCAACACAAAUCCUUUUGGUUGAGAAGAAGGUGCAGCCCACGUUCUUGUAUCUUGAUAUAGCCGUGGGUCUUGCUGAAAUGAUCAGCUGCCCAGCCUCAAUUAAUAAGAUAUUCUAUGAAUAUGAAAUAUACCUGGAGGUUGAGGGCUAUAUCGAUGAUCGACA